rnacentral:rRNA from 1 species
GACAGAGGGUGCAAACGUUGUUCGGAAUUACUGGGCGUAAAGCGCGUGUAGGCUGCUCAGAAAGUUGGAUGUGAAAGCUCUGGGCUUAACCUAGGAAGUGCAUUCAAAACUACUGAGCUGGAGUCCUGGAGAGGAAGGCGGAAUUCUCGGUGUAGAGGUGAAAUUCGUAGAUAUCGAGAGGAACACCGGUGGCGAAGGCGGCCUUCUGGACAGUGACUGACGCUGAGACGCGAAAGCGUGGGGAGCAAACAGG